UACGUAGGGUGCAAGCGUUAAUCGGAAUUACUGGGCGUAAAGCGUGCGCAGGCGGUCGUUCAAGUCGCGUGUGAAAGCCCCCGGCUCAACUGGGGAGGGUCACGCGAUACUGAUCGACUCGAAGGCAGGAGAGGGAAGUGGAAUUCCCGGUGUAGUGGUGAAAUGCGUAGAUAUCGGGAGGAACACCAGUGGCGAAGGCGACUUCCUGGCCUGUUCUUGACGCUGAGGCGCGAAAGCUAGGGGAGCAAACGGG
rnacentral:rRNA from 1 species